GAUUCACAAGGUAUUUCGUCCGCCAUAUUGAUUAUUUAUUUUAUGACGUCACGCGCGCAAUAUUUGAAUAUUGAAAAUUAUGUUUUUUAAAUACAAGAUACACGUGUAAACAAGGUUUUUGCUUUGCAGAACAAUAUUAUCAUCAUUUCUCAUCUUCGUAAACUUAUGAAAAAUUAAAGAUUGAAAUCUUUGGAACUCGGGACAAACGUAUGACUUUUGACUGGAGUUGUUCGCUUCUGUAUUUGUAAGAGGAAGGAAACUUGGAAGGAAGCUUGGGCUUUGUUUUAAGCUACCAAAGAAGUUUUAAGCCUAGAUCGUUAACAAAAAUUUAUAGGAAUGCCUUAGCUGUAGAGAGAACAAUAUAAAUGGAUUUCUUCAACCAAACCUCGUUCAACAUUUUGAAAUCUCGAGCUCCAAAGUGAUACACUGGUCGGAGAUAAGGAAACACUGGUAGUUCAUAUCCAGGUUUUCUUCCAAUCUUGGAAACCCUAAAUGCUUCUUUUAAUCUUUCUCCGACGUAUUUAUUGUUGUCCCAGAAGUCGUCCAUAAGAUAGAUAGAGGGAAACAAUGCAUUAGUGCUGUUGUAUAACCAAGUUAAUCGGUUGUUCCAUUUCUUGUUCUUGGAAAUAAAAUAAUAAUAUCCUGACAUUAUGGACGAUAUUUUAUUUUUGUGAAUAUUCUUUAGACAGCGCAAUUUAAUGAAUAUUGAUAUAGUUCAUUCUCUUUCAAACCCAGCCGUUUCUCUGUAAGCAUGAAAAUUUAUGGUUUUUAUGCAUGCACAGGCAGGAGUGUAGUUAUUUCAUUAAUUUCUCGUACCAGCUCGGUGCAGUUUCCAUGACAAUCUGGAAAUCCAUAAAAACCCCAUAGUGCCUUUGGCCUUAGCUUUUGUCCUAAUUUAAUGGUUUCUACAAUGAGAUGACGACCCGCUUGCUCAAAUUGUCUUUUUGCCUCGGCGUGUAACGUGCUAAUAUUUCUUACUCGGCCAUCCAUCUUCACCAAGGCAAUCGACUCCGUAACGUACAAAUGUUUUUUUCCAAAGUUUGUCUCCCAUAUUGGUCUCCAACCUUCCCAGUCGAUGACCGCGAGGCCGCUGUACAUUGGCACUGGAAUUUUAUCAACGAUAUGUUGCGAUGCUUUCUGAAGAUGCUGUGUGAUGUUUGUGAGCUAAAUAUGUGGAAAUGUAGAUGUUGUGGUUGCAAAUUUUUAUAAAAAUAAAAGGAAGUAAAUGAAA